GUGGUAUCUCAUUAAAUGCAGUGGUCUUGGCAGAAAGACAAAUUAAGAGAGUAUGGGAAAAAAAUUAAAAGAGUUUGGAAAAUAUAUUUCAUCUAAGCAGGGAAGUUUGGUUUAAAAAUAGUAACUCCCUUUAAUUGAGCAUCAUACUACCUCUCAAUGAACUCUAUGUGAAGGUCAUGUUUUCCAAAAGAUGUUUUACCUACCUGGUCAUCCAAUGCAAACAUUAUAGAUAUUGAGGAUGGGGAAAUUUUAACCAGCGUUUUUCCGACUUUAGAUGUGAUAGCAUAGGGUUGUUUACCUUGUGACUGAAUUUCAACAUUAGCCCAAAAUUGUCGGAGUUUUUCCGUAUGAACUGGAGCAUCGACAGUAAGGAUUGCUUUAUAUUUUGAUGACGUUAAAACGUCAAUUAUUGAGUGAAAGCUGGUUUUUGAUUAUCAGAGCCAUGAAUCGAGAAGAAGGUGAGUAGGGUUUGAAGAAGAUGAUAAUGGAAACUGCUUUUGAGAAUUUUGAAUUGGAGAUGGCAGUCAAUGCUCUGUUUGGGGAUGAAACAGAGUUUAUACACGGUGAAAAAGUGAAUCCUGACGUGGCAGCAGUUAAAAAGAUUUGAAGGCUAACAUUUGUCACGUGGCAGCAACCUCUGUUGUGAUAAUGGAUGACAGUUGUUUGGAAACCUCUGUUGGGCAACAACAGAGGUUAGGAACAGUGGUAAGUCAACAACCGUUAGGAUAAAUAGAGGUUAUGAGAACUGAGGAUACCUUUCAGCAGUGGAUAAAUUUUUAGCCAAGCAGAGGUUUUAAAAACAGUGGUUUUGAACAGACUUUUAAGGAUUUUUGAAUUUUUUUUUCAAAAAUAGCUAUUUUUUAAGAAUGGAUUUUUUAUUUUCUAAAAACAUUUUAAUGCUUUUGAUUGACCAAUUCAGCAGGAUUAGCUGGGAUCGAAUUUGAUUGACCAAGCUCUGAUACCAAUUGUUAGGAUCUGAUUUUGAUUGUUGUGACAGUUAAGAUGAUAACAAUGGAAGAAGAUAAAACAUAAAUGGAAAUAUGCAACUGAAUAAUAAACUUUUUCUCAUACAAUGAGAAGAAUGCUUUCAUCAUCAUGCUUUUAUAAAGAUUGCAAUUACAAUGUUUACAUGUGCAUGAGAAUUACAAACUCCCCCACAGCCUGUUCGUACAAAAUGUGAAGAGGAAAGUGAUAAAUAGAAUAGUACAUGCACUGUUCUAUUUAUAGUACAAAUCAAACAUCUAAAGCAUCUAAGCGGACGUCACUUGUAUAACAACAUCUAACAGCCUAACAAACUCCUAACAUCUGCUAUUAGCCUAGGCACUGUUACAUUGAUAACCUCUGUUGAGCAGCAUCCGUUGAAUAUCAUUUGUUGGUCUUUAACAUCUGUUGAGCCAUAGCAAACCUUUGCCUCUUUAGACUUUGUCUUCAUCACCAGAGAAUCACUUUGUAGACCUUUUGAUCAGCAGACUUUAUUUUCAAGCAGAUGUUCUCUUUGGCAGACUUUGGCUUUGGCAGACCUUUGGAGUAGCAGAUGUUGAGACUUUGUCAUUGGGAGGAGCAGAUUCUUCAAAGCACUGUUAUAUUCAUGAUCAGAUAUUCUAGACUAUUUUGGCUUUGCAAUCAUCUGUUCUUUUGUGGGGUCCACUAGAACCAACAAGUAAUACUACUAGCCUUACAUCUAGCUUUAUAUCUUUAGCAGCCCUUUGAACAUUUGUUCAGGCUUAAACCAACCUGAGGGAUUUAAACCUCUAUUGACUUACCAAACAUCUAUUCAGGCUUAAAUAGAUGUUUGGAAUUCUAUAUCAGUGACUUGUCUCUAACAGGGCGUUGCCCUUUGAAGGGACUUUUCUUCUUCUUCAACAGUGCUUUCAUGUUUGGCAUUCUAUAUUCAGGCACAAUUUAACAUCAACAUGAAUAUCAUCUCCAAUCCUCAAAUUCUAUAUCUAUACUAUAUAAUAAUACUUAUGCCUGCUAAAAUAAAUAAAAGUAAAAUGUGACAAGAAAGAUUAAUACGAUUACAAUUUAUGGCAUUAAAAGAGUAACACCUACAUCGAGUACUGAACUAAGAAACUUUCAAAUCUAACAAUAACAGUCAGA
rnacentral:lncRNA from 1 species